AACCCAACAGCAGGUGGCACUGUCUGAGAAAAUGAUAGGUAUGGAAGUGCUGGUCUGAGCGUGCAGGUCUGAGCGUGCGGUUGGGUCUCCGGGCCUGCAGCUUCACCCUACCCCCAAAUGUGGGAAUCUCGACUGCAUAAUUUCUGGUAGUGAGGGACUGCGUUCGCGCUCUCCCCUG
ensembl:snRNA U1 U1 spliceosomal RNA